rnacentral:sRNA from 1 species
UGCUCUUUUAUAACUAUUACAGUCGUUAAUGGGGAUGGGGGAUAACAAACAUCAUCAUUUUCUUUUAUAACCACUACAGUCGUUAAUUAAAUAAUUUAACCAAUACAAAUUAAUUGUAAAACUUCGGUUACAGGAAUAUGGUGGUGCAUGUGGAGAAAUUUAUAAAAAUUAAUUUGGUCAUCUAUGUUACUAAAACACACUUAUCUUUUUUGUCAAACGUCUUAAAGAAAAUUCUACAAUUAAGCAUUUUUAAGCUGGGAAAGUCUUAUGAUAGAUAACUUUCGAGGAAAUGAUUGUCGGAACCGUGUGAGUGAGAACAAAAUACGGGAGAAAAUCAUGUGGUGAUUUGUAAGGUAAGUACCAAGUUUUUAAAGCCUCUCAGACAUGGCGUAUCGAUCGUUGGACAGAAAUAGACCCACAGACCCGAGAAAAUACAUGAGACCUACUAGUAGAGACUCUUGGAACAUUAUAUUGAUAAUAAAUAAAUGGUUAGAUUGGAAACUCAAAACGGUACAAGGUUUUUAAUAAAAUAGACGACCAGUAAGCAAUAAAUACAAAAUAGAUUAAAGUCGUAGAAAAUAGCUAUAUAUAUAU